GACGAACGCUGGCGGCGUGCCUAAUACAUGCAAGUUGAGCGCUGAAGGUUGGUACUUGUACCGACUGGAUGAGCAGCGAACGGGUGAGUAACGCGUGGGGAAUCUGCCUUUGAGCGGGGGACAACAUUUGGAAACGAAUGCUAAUACCGCAUAAAAACUUUAAACACAAGUUUUAAGUUUGAAAGAUGCAAUUGCAUCACUCAAAGAUGAUCCCGCGUUGUAUUAGCUAGUUGGUGAGGUAAAGGCUCACCAAGGCGAUGAUACAUAGCCGACCUGAGAGGGGGAUCGGCCACAUUGGGACUGGGACACGGCCCAAAAUCCUACGGGAGGCAGCAGUAGGGAAUCUUCGGCAAUGGACGAAAGUCUGACCGAGCAACGCCGCGUGAGUGAAGAAGGUUUUCGGAUCGUAAAACUCUGUUGGUAGAGAAGAACGUUGGUGAGAGUGGAAAGCUCAUCAAGUGACGGUAACUACCCAGAAAGGGACGGCUAACUACGUG
rnacentral:rRNA from 1 species